rnacentral:lncRNA from 1 species
GUAUGUUGAUGCAACGUAAUGUUUAACUGAGAAUUGAGAAACUUUUUGCCUUAGCCAAUAAUUGAUGUCCUAAUAAACUUUUACGCGAGGAUAUUGAAAUAUUAAAGCGCCAUUACUGAUAAAUUUUUAUAAGCUAUCUUAUGAUUUAUUAAGAGCAAGGGGUCAAUGGUUAAACAAGUAAUGCUUGUUAAUUAGGUUAUCAUCACUCAUGAAAAGUUUAGAAUUGAUGUUUGCAAC